GAGAGAGGGAAGGGGGUGACUAGUGAUAGAGUGAGAGAGGGGGUGACUAGUGACAGAGUGAGGGAUGGGGUGACUAGUGACAGUCACCCCCUCUUUCACUCUGUCACUAGUCACCCCCUCUCUCACUCUGUCACCAGUCAUCCCUUCCUUCCCUCACUCUGCCACUAGUCAUCCCUUCCCUCACUCUGUCACCAGUCACCCCUUCCUUCCUUC